CCUACCAGGACACAGUUUAGACAUGAGGUUCCAGGUUCAGGUCCUGGGGCUCCUUCUGCUCUGGAUAUCAGGUGCCCAGUGUGAUGUCCAGAUAACCCAGUCUCCAUCUUAUCUUGCUGCAUCUCCUGGAGACACCAUUACCAUUAAUUGCAGGGCAAGUAAAAGCAUUAACAAAUAUUUAGCCUGGUAUCAAGAGAAACCUGGGAAACCUAAUAAGCUUCUUAUCUACUCUGGAUCCACUUUGCAAUCUGGAAUUCCAUCAAGGUUCAGUGGCAGUGGAUCUGGUACAGAUUUCACUCUCACCAUCAGUAGCCUGGAGCCUGAAGAUUUUGCAGUGUAUUACUGUCAACAGCAUAAUGAAUACCCAUACCACAGUGAUACAAGUCAUAACAAAAACCCCCAAGUCUUGGAGAUCAAGCCCAAUUUCCUGCAGGUCUAGUCAGAGCAUUGUACACAGUAAUGGAAACACCUUUUUGGAGUGGUACCUGCAGAAGCCAGACAAGUCUCCACAGUUCCUGAUCUAUUUGGUUUCCAAGCGAUUUUCUGAGGUCCCUGACAGAUUCAGUGGCUGUGGGUCUGUCACAGACUUCACAUUGAAGAUUAGCAGGGUGGAACCUGAGGAUAUAGGAGUUUAUUACUGCUUCCACCAUUCGUAUUAUCCUGCCACAGUGAUGCAGACCUUAUAA